UGGGGAAUAUUGGACAAUGGGGGCAACCCUGAUCCAGCGAUGCCGCGUGUGUGAAGAAGGCCUGCGGGUUGUAAAGCACUUUCGGUGGGGAGGAGGAGUGAUAGGUUAAGAGCUAAUGACUUGGACGUUACCCACAUAAGAAGCACCGGCUAACUCCGUGCCAGCAGCCGCGGUAAUACGGAGGGUGCGAGCGUUAAUCGGAAUGACUGGGCGUAAAGGGUGUGUAGGCGGUUUGGUAAGUUAAGUGUGAAAUACCCGGGCUUAACCUGGGAAGGUCAUUUAAGACUGCUAGACUUGAGUAUGGGAGAGGGUAGUGGAAUUUCCGGUGUAGCGGUGAAAUGCGUAGAGAUCGGAAGGAACACCAGUGGCGAAGGCGGCUACCUGGCCUAAUACUGACGCUGAGACACGAAAGCAUGGGGAGCAAACAGGAUUAGAUACCCCCGUAGUCC
rnacentral:rRNA from 1 species